rnacentral:lncRNA from 1 species
AUAUAUUACAUAUUUGCUGAAGAUUAUUGAACGACAUCAGGUGUCUUUAAAGAAAGAGGUUUUUCAUCUUAUUAAUGUUUCUUAAUGCACACAUUCCAAAUCUAAACAUUUAUUUUGUUGUUAUGAAGAAUAAUCUUAAUGUACUAAGGAGUUAUGCUUUACUUAUCUAUAUGGUCUUGAAAAAAUCUGACAUUCUACAAUUUUCGAGGAGUUAUGGACGUCAAACAUCUCCAGAUCUGUAUAAAUUUCAUCAUCACUAUCUGAAUAAUAAUAAUUGUUGAUUUUGUCGUUAUGAAAAAAUUCAAUAAUCCUAAACGGUAUUAUUCAGUUUCUUCCGUCUAUAUGGUGAGGAAAAGAAUCGCAUAUACAGUUCUCCAUGUGACCCUUACAAAUAUAAAUUGCAUUUUCCCCUUUGUAAUGAAGUAUAUUGACUAUGGACGAAGAGAUUCAGCUUCACUUAUCUACAAGGUUGGAUUCGGAAUCUCAUGCUCUACUUAUUUAGUGCUACCUUAGAUGUCGAUCAUCUCUGGCCCUGUCCAAGUUAAAUUAGAACUCUGAAUAAUUGCGAUUGACGUCGUAUUGGAUUAGCUCAAUCGACGAAGGGAAUAAGAACGUAUUCAUAUGGUCCUAGAUGGAAUUACAUAAUUUACAUUUUUAAUGAUUUCAUAGACGUCUAUUAUCUACGGAACUGCCUAAACUAAAUUUGUUGAUCAUCUCCAAACAUGUCAUGAACAUAUGUAUCUUAUACUCUGAUUAUAUUGAAUUUAGGUUUAAUGUUAUUAUUUCAAUGUUCUUUCUCAUGGUAGUUUUAUUAUUUUUAUUUAAUUUUGAAAUUAAUUCACUUCUUUGGACCUAUUUGAUUCUUUAACUACUAAUUAACCAUAUGUACGCAUUUUGAUUUAUUAAUUGUGCGUAUAUUUAAUGGUUAAUCGUUACAUUAUAAACACUUAUUUUUUUUAGUUUUACCUUCUCUAAUUUUUUUUGUUAUUACACAAGGCUAAAUUUUUAAUACUAAUGUGAUAUUGUGGAAAUUAUUUGUAUAAUUUUAUUACGUUUAUCAAAGUAAUAAACAUACUUUUAAAGAAACAAUUUCUCCCCUGUAUAAGUUUUAUGUGGGGUUCUCUAUAAGAAUAUUUUGUACUCUUAUUUUACAAUGAAUUAAAAUUUAAAUUGCUAUCCUGGUAGCUAUAUUUUUAAAACCUUACGGCACUACGAUUUUAGGAAGACUUGUUUAAUCUUCAUAAACAAUUUAUUGAGAUAAAUUGUUUUCUUUUUAUCUACUAAAUAUAUACAAAAAAAUUGUUAUCUAAUUCUGACUCUGUGAUCCGCUAUGAAAAUAUUAAAUAUCUCUACUAAAAGUAUAUUUUCUCUUCUUUUGUAAUCUUGUAAAUAACAGAUUUAUAACUACAUUAUUGUAUUCUUAUCAAUCUAAAUAUACAGCUUAGUUUCCUUA